rnacentral:rRNA from 1 species
CCUACNGGAGGCAGCAGUGGGGAAUAUCGCACAAUGGGCGCAAGCCUGAUGCAGCCAUGCCGCGUGUAUGAAGAAGGCCUUAGGGUUGUAAAGUACUUUCAGUUGGGANGAAGGCGUUGAUGCUAAUAUCAUCAACGAUUGACGUUACCAACAGAAGAAGCACCGGCUAACUCCGUGCCAGCAGCCGCGGUAAUACGGAGGGUGCAAGCGUUAAUCGGAAUUACUGGGCGUAAAGCGCACGCAGGCGGUUGAUUAAGUUAGAUGUGAAAUCCCCGGGCUUAACCUGGGAAUGGCAUCUAAGACUGGUCAGCUAGAGUCUUGUAGAGGGGGGUAGAAUUCCAGGUGUAGCGGUGAAAUGCAUAGAGAUCUGGAGGAAUACCGGUGGCGAAGGCGGCCCCCUGGACAAAGACUGACGCUCAGGUGCGAAAGCGUGGGGAGCAAACAGGAUUAGAUACCCCUGUAGUC